rnacentral:sRNA from 1 species
UUUCUAAAUUAGGAUGAUUUGAUAUGUUUAAUAUUAGUAGUCUUAAAAAAUAAUAAAUUAAAGAUUUAACCCAUAUUGAAAUU